CGUGCCCUACGGGAGGCAGCAGUGAGGAAUAUUGGUCAAUGGGCGCAAGCCUGAACCAGCCAAGUCGCGUGAGGGAUGACGGUCCUAUGGAUUGUAAACCUCUUUUGUCGGGGAGCAAGGCCCGCCACGUGUGGCGGGAAGGAGAGUACCCGAAGAAAAAGCAUCGGCUAACUCCGUGCCAGCAGCCGCGGUAAUACGGAGGAUGCGAGCGUUAUCCGGAUUUAUUGGGGUUUAAGGGUGCGUAGGCGGAAGGGUAAGUCAG
rnacentral:rRNA from 1 species